CCUACGGGAGGCAGCAGUGGGGAAUAUUGCACAAUGGGGGGAACCCUGAUGCAGCAACGCCGCGUGGGUGAAGAAGUACUUCGGUAUGUAAAGCCCUGUCAGCAGGGAAGAAAAUGACGGUACCUGACCAAGAAGCCCCGGCUAACUACGUGCCAGCAGCCGCGGUAAUACGUAGGGGGCAAGCGUUAUCCGGAUUUACUGGGUGUAAAGGGAGCGUAGACGGCAAGGCAAGUCUGGAGUGAAAGCCCGUGGCUCAACCACGGGACUGCUUUGGAAACUGUGUUGCUGGAGUGCAGGAGGGGUAAGCGGAAUUCCUAGUGUAGCGGUGAAAUGCGGAGAUAUUAGGAGGAACACCGGUGGCGAAGGCGGAUUACUGGACUGUAACUGACGUUGAGGCGCGAAGGCGUGGGGAGCAAACAGGAUUAGAUACCCGUGUAGUC
rnacentral:rRNA from 1 species